ACGGGUGAGUAACGCGUGGGAAUCUACCUUUUGCUACGGAAUAACUCAGGGAAACUUGUGCUAAUACCGUAUGUGCCCUUUUGGGGAAAGAUUUAUCGGCAAAGGAUGAGCCCGCGUUGGAUUAGCUAGUUGGUGAGGUAAAGGCUCACCAAGGCGACGAUCCAUAGCUGGUCUGAGAGGAUGAUCAGCCACACUGGGACUGAGACACGGCCCAGACUCCUACGGGAGGCAGCAGUGGGGAAUAUUGGACAAUGGGCGCAAGCCUGAUCCAGCCAUGCCGCGUGAGUGAUGACGGUCUUAGGAUUGUAAAGCUCUUUCACCGGUGAAGAUAAUGACGGUAACCGGAGAAGAAGCCCCGGCUAACUUCGUGCCAGCAGCCGCGGUAGUACGAAGGGGGCUAGCGUUGUUCGGAUUUACUGGGCGUAAAGCGCACGUAGGCGGACUUUUAAGUCAGGGGUGAAAUCCCGGGGCUCAACCCCGGAACUGCCUUUGAUACUGGAAGUCUUGAGUAUGGAAGAGGUGAGUGGAAUUCCGAGUGUAGAGGUGAAAUUCGUAGA
rnacentral:rRNA from 1 species